CUACGGGACGCUGCAGUGGGGAAUCUUAGACAAUGGGCGCAAGCCUGAUCUAGCCGUGCCGCGUGAGUGACGAAGGCCUUAGGGUCGUAAAGCUCUUUCGCUGGGGAAGAUAAUGACGGUACCCAGUAAAGAAACCCCGGCUAACUCCGUGCCAGCAGCCGCGGUAAUACGGAGGGGGUUAGCGUUGUUCGGAAUUACUGGGCGUAAAGCGCGCGUAGGCGGAUCAGAAAGUUGGGGGUGAAAUCCCGGGGCUCAACCCCGGAACUGCCUUCUAAACUCCUGGUCUCGAGUUCGAGAGAGGUGAGUGGAAUUCCGAGUGUAGGGGUGAAAUUCGUAGAUAUUCGGAGGAACACCAGUGGCGAAGGCGGCUCACUGGCUCGAUACUGACGCUGAGGUGCGAAAGCGUGGGGAGCAAACAGGAUUAGAUACCCGGGUAGUC
rnacentral:rRNA from 1 species